rnacentral:piRNA from 2 species
AGGUAGCUUAUGGGAGCCUGGGUCUUAGA